rnacentral:rRNA from 1 species
GUGUCAGCAGCCGCGGUAAUACAGAGGUCCCAAGCGUUGUUCGGAUUCACUGGGCGUAAAGGGUGCGUAGGUGGCGAAGCAAGUCGGACGUGAAAGCUCGGAGCUCAACUCCGAAAUGGCGUUGGAAACUGCUUUGCUUGAGGGUUGGAGGGGGGACUGGAAUGCUUGGUGUAGCAGUGAAAUGCGUAGAUAUCAAGCGGAACACCAGUGGCGAAGGCGAGUCCCUGGACAACUCCUGACACUGAGGCACGAAAGCUAGGGGAGCAAACAGGAUUAGAUACCCUGGUAGUCC